UUUUAUAAUAGAAUAGCAGAAUAAAUUCAAGAGAUCUGUUAUACAACAUGGUGACUAUAGUUAAAAACAAUGUAUUGCAUACUUGAAAAUCACUGAAAGUAAAAUUUAACUGUUC